ensembl:lncRNA
GCAGCAUCGUCCACUGACAAUGGGGUGGGGGGGGGGGGUGCUACUCUGAACACCACCAUCAGUGUUUGUGCCCUUGGUGCAAAAGGAUGCCUUAAGGCGUUAGUUUACACUCUGCAAUGUCCAGUCGCUGAGAGUUCUAGGGUUCCCAAGGCAACGCGGAGGAACUACAACCACCUGGCUACAGGUUACAAACACACACCAGCGUGAAGUGUGCGUGCGUGUGUUUGGGGGUGGGUGGGGCAGCGGCUAAGUAUGCGAGGUGUCUUUGACGUUGUAUGUGGUACUUGUGUCUUGUUUUUCGGAGGUGAGGCAGCGUCAUAAGAGGCUACUGAGGUCAAGGGGGUUGGUAUGAGUAUGAUGUGUGUGUGUGUGUGGUGGGUGCCUAGAAAACUGGGAGCAAGAGUUAUUUUUUUUUAUUUUUUUUUGGGGGGGGGUGCAAUUUGAGAAACAAAAAGAAAAUAGAAAAAGGAAAAAAGCUGCUACAGUCUUUGUUUGAAAAGCCAGAGCACUCAGGAUCAACCUGGCUUUAGUUACAUGUUCUUAAUGGGGGGGGGGGGGCUGGGGGCUGUUGUAGAGGAGCCAGUCUCUGGAUGGACUACAGUGUUGCCUUGGUGGCUUAUUUAAAGGAAAACAGGCUGUGGUCUGUUUUUGAGAGGAAAAAAAAAAAAAGACAGCAUCCACCAGAGGACUAAUCUGUAUUACAAUGAAAAAUGUAUUAUCUUUUCCUCGAUUGUAGUUUUGUCAGUGCUACAGAACUAUGGGACUAUGAAUAGCAUUUCUGUUUUAGUUUUUGAAUUAAACUCGUGCUGAUUUAGUUUGACCGGAUGGAUGGGUCAUAAGGAUGAGAAUCACCUUCUGAGUCUUUAUUUCAUGCUAUUGUUAAUGAAAUAGCUCAUUUGAGCUCAAGGGAAACAUUGUUUACAAACCUAUGUUAGAAUGUUUGCCAAAAAAAUUAAAAUAAUGUUCUGGUAUUCCCAAGGGUCAUCCAACUACUGGUUUAUUUACAAAACACUAGACACCGAUAUCGUGAGCAGGAUAUGAGAUGACGUGCUACCUGUAGAUAUGACAUCCGUUCUAGUGCUGGGGGCGGGGGGGGGGGGGGGCUGAAGAUGACGCACACUUGCUGCACUAUGACGUAAUGUAAGAUCUCUAAUAGACCUCUACUUCAGCUGUCGUUUGAUCUGAGCUUUUAUUUGAAUCUGCCAGUCUCUGCAGCUGACUGACACUUUCCAGAGGUUGUCCCCCUAUCAAACAGGAACUGGGCUGUCUUCAGUCGCGAUUCAAACUGUUUCCGUGGUAAUACAUUUCAAUUUGAAAGUUAAACUGCCAGGACCGUGAGCUCAAAAUAUGCUUUGUCGGGAUUUGUAAGCAUGGGGAAAAAAAUGCAUACUUAAAGAUCCUUGAAGAAAACUGACACUUAACCUGACUCCCCACAGAGUAUUACAAUACAUCGUCCAUGCACAGGAAAAUGGGCACUUUGUCAAGGCUCAAUGGAAUAUGUUUAGCGGUGGGCCCAGUUGAUUGUUUUAUUGUUCACUAUAUUUCCCACAGAAACUAUUGCGGUCAUUUCCCUGAAUUAAUUUGUCACCUGGGAUUGACCGAAUAGCCAAAACAUAACACUACGCUGCACCCACCUUCCAGGGUCUGUCUCAAUACCCCCUCCUUUUAAAGACCACUGCAGGCGUCUCAGGCCAGCGGCCAGCCAGUGGAGGUCAGAGGAUGUUAAAGGCUCUGUUGACACAGGCAGCCUGAUUCUGGUACUUAUUCCACUAGUUGGUCUUUAGACCGGUCGUCACAGAUCCGAAUCGGGCUGCCUAUGUAUACAUGGCGUUUGUGACUCAACUGCUGGAAGGAAGCAGGGCUGAGUGAGAAGUGGAGGUGUUGUUUUGUGGAGAGGAUGG